rnacentral:rRNA from 1 species
AGCGAACGCUGGCGGCAGGCUUAACACAUGCAAGUCGAGCGGGCACUUCGGUGUCAGCGGCAGACGGGUGAGUAACACGUGGGAACGUACCCUUUGGUUCGGAAUAACGCUGGGAAACUAGCGCUAAUACCGGAUACGCCCUUUUGGGGAAAGGCUUGCUGCCGAAGGAUCGGCCCGCGUCUGAUUAGCUAGUUGGUGGGGUAAUGGCCUACCAAGGCGACGAUCAGUAGCUGGUCUGAGAGGAUGAUCAGCCACACUGGGACUGAGACACGGCCCAGACUCCUACGGGAGGAAGCAGUGGGGAAUAUUGGACAAUGGGCGCAAGCCUGAUCCAGCCAUGCCGCGUGAGUGAUGAAGGACUUAGGGUUGUAAAGCUAUUUUGUCCGGGACGAUAAUGACGGUACCGGAAGAAUAAGCCCCGGCUAACUUCGUG